rnacentral:rRNA from 1 species
CACGUAUUUAGCCGGAGCUUUCUUCUAUGGUACUGUCAUUAUCUUCCCAUAGGACAGAACUUUACGAUACGAAUACCUUCUUCGUUCACGCGGCGUCGCUGCAUCAGGGUUUCCCCCAUUGUGCAAUAUUCCCCACUGCUGCCUCCCGUAGGAGUUUGGACCGUGUCUCAGUUCCAAUGUGGCCGUUCAUCCUCUCAGACCGGCUACUGAUCGUCGCCUUGGUGGGCUGUUAUCUCACCAACUAGCUAAUCAGACGCGAGCCCAUCUAUGACCGAUAAAUCUUUGACCGUUAAAACAUGUGUUUCUACGAUUUUAUGCGGUAUUAAUCCCGGUUUCCCGAGGCUAUCCCACUGUCAUAGGCAGGUUGCUCACGCGUUACUCACCCGUUCGCCACUCUCAUUAGUAAUCUUCCACCGAGGCUUCUGUUUACUAAAUCCCGUUCGACUUGCAUGUGUUAAGCACGCCGCCAGCGUUCGUCCUGAGCCAGGAUCAAACUCU